GAUGAACGUUGGCGGCGUGCCUAAUACAUGCAAGUCGAACGAAGACUGUAGUAAUACUGUCUUAGUGGCGAACGGGUGAGUAACGCGUGGGUGACCUGCCCCCGAAGUGUGGGAUAACAGUUCGAAAGGAUUGCUAAUACUGCAUAACAUCCAAGAGAUUAGACGCUUUUUGGAUUAAAGAAGUAAUUCGCUUCGGGAGGGGCCCGCGUCCCAUCAGCUAGUUGGUAAGGUAAUGGCUUACCAAGGCGACGACGGGUAGCCGGCCUGAGAGGGUGACCGGCCACACUGGGACUGAGACACGGCCCAGACUCCUACGGGGGGCAGCAGUGGGGGAUCUUGCACAAUGGGCGAAAGCCUGAUGCAGCGACGCCGCGUGAGCGAAGAAGGCCUUGGUUGUAAGACUCUGUCUGGAGGGACGGAAACAAAUAGACGGUACCUCCGGAGGAAGCCGACGGCUAACUACGUGCCAGCAGCCGCCGGUAAUCACGAGAGUA
rnacentral:rRNA from 1 species